UGGGGAAUAUUGCACAAUGGGCGCAAGCCUGAUGCAGCCAUGCCGCGUGUGUGAAGAAGGCCUUCGGGUUGUAAAGCACUUUCAGCGAGGAGGAAGGUGGUGAACUUAAUACGUUCAUCAAUUGACGUUACUCGCAGAAGAAGCACCGGCUAACUCCGUGCCAGCAGCCGCGGUAAUACGGAGGGUGCAAGCGUUAAUCGGAAUUACUGGGCGUAAAGCGCACGCAGGCGGUUUGUUAAGUCAGAUGUGAAAUCCCCGGGCUCAACCUGGGAACUGCAUUUGAAACUGGCAAGCUAGGGUCUCGUAGAGGGGGGUAGAAUUCCAGGUGUAGCGGUGAAAUGCGUAGAGAUCUGGAGGAAUACCGGUGGCGAAGGCGGCCCCCUGGACGAAGACUGACGCUCAGGUGCGAAAAGCGUGGGGAGCAAAACAGGAUUAGAUACCCUGGUAGUCCACGCUGUAAAACGAUGUCGAUUUUGGAGGUUGUGCCCUUGAGGCGUGGCUUCCGGAGCUAACGCGUUAAAUCGACCGCCCUGGGGAGUACGGCCGCAAGGUU
rnacentral:rRNA from 1 species